CUGAAUCAGUGUGUGUGUUAGUGGAAGCGUCUGGAAAGGCGCGCGAUACAGGGUGACAGCCCCGUACACAAAAAUGCACAUGCUGUGAGCUCGAUGAGUAGGGCGGGACACGUGGUAUCCUGUCUGAAUAUGGGGGGACCAUCCUCCAAGGCUAAAUACUCCUGACUGACCGAUAGUGAACCAGUACCGUGAGGGAAAGGCGAAAAGAACCCCGGCGAGGGGAGUGAAAAAGAACCUGAAACCGUGUACGUACAAGCAGUGGGAGCACAGAGCAAUCUGUGUGACUGCGUACCUUUUGUAUAAUGGGUCAGCGACUUAUAUUCUGUAGCAAGGUUAACCGAAUAGGGGAGCCGAAGGGAAACCGAGUCUUAACUGGGCGUUAAGUUGCAGGGUAUAGACCCGAAACCCGGUGAUCUAGCCAUGGGCAGGUUGAAGGUUGGGUAACACUAACUGGAGGACCGAACCGACUAAUGUUGAAAAAUUAGCGGAUGACUUGUGGCUGGGGGUGAAAGGCCAAUCAAACCGGGAGAUAGCUGGUUCUCCCCGAAAGCUAUUUAGGUAGCGCCUCGUGAAUUCAUCUCCGGGGGUAGAGCACUGUUUCGGCAAGGGGGUCAUCCCGACUUACCAACCCGAUGCAAACUGCGAAUACCGGAGAAUGUUAUCACGGGAGACACACGGCGGGUGCUAACGUCCGUCGUGAAGAGGGAAACAACCCAGACCGCCAGCUAAGGUCCCAAAGUCAUGGUUAAGUGGGAAACGAUGUGGGAAGGCCCAGACAGCCAGGAUGUUGGCUUAGAAGCAGCCAUCAUUUAAAGAAAGCGUAAUAGCUCACUGGUCGAGUCGGCCUGCGCGGAAGAUGUAACGGGGCUAAACCAUGCACCGAAGCUGCGGCAGCGACACUGUGUGUUGUUGGGUAGGGGAGCGUUCUGUAAGCCUGUGAAGGUGUGCUGUGAGGCAUGCUGGAGGUAUCAGAAGUGCGAAUGCUGACAUAAGUAACGAUAAAGCGGGUGAAAAGCCCGCUCGCCGGAAGACCAAGGGUUCCUGUCCAACGUUAAUCGGGGCAGGGUGAGUCGACCCCUAAGGCGAGGCCGAAAGGCGUAGUCGAUGGGAAACAGGUUAAUAUUCCUGUACUUGGUGUUACUGCGAAGGGGGGACGGAGAAGGCUAUGUUGGCCGGGCGACGGUUGUCCCGGUUUAAGCGUGUAGGCUGGUUUUCCAGGCAAAUCCGGAAAAUCAAGGCUGAGGCGUGAUGACGAGGCACUACGGUGCUGAAGCAACAAAUGCCCUGCUUCCAGGAAAAGCCUCUAAGCAUCAGGUAACAUCAAAUCGUACCCCAAACCGACACAGGUGGUCAGGUAGAGAAUACCAAGGCGCUUGAGAGAACUCGGGUGAAGGAACUAGGCAAAAUGGUGCCGUAACUUCGGGAGAAGGCACGCUGAUAUGUAGGUGAAGUCCCUCGCGGAUGGAGCUGAAAUCAGUCGAAGAUACCAGCUGGCUGCAACUGUUUAUUAAAAACACAGCACUGUGCAAACACGAAAGUGGACGUAUACGGUGUGACGCCUGCCCGGUGCCGGAAGGUUAAUUGAUGGGGUCAGCGCAAGCGAAGCUCUUGAUCGAAGCCCCGGUAAACGGCGGCCGUAACUAUAACGGUCCUAAGGUAGCGAAAUUCCUUGUCGGGUAAGUUCCGACCUGCACGAAUGGCGUAAUGAUGGCCAGGCUGUCUCCACCCGAGACUCAGUGAAAUUGAACUCGCUGUGAAGAUGCAGUGUACCCGCGGCAAGACGGAAAGACCCCGUGAACCUUUACUAUAGCUUGACACUGAACAUUGAGCCUUGAUGUGUAGGAUAGGUGGGAGGCUUUGAAGUGUGGACGCCAGUCUGCAUGGAGCCGACCUUGAAAUACCACCCUUUAAUGUUUGAUGUUCUAACGUGGACCCGUGAUCCGGGUUGCGGACAGUGUCUGGUGGGUAGUUUGACUGGGGCGGUCUCCUCCUAAAGAGUAACGGAGGAGCACGAAGGUUGGCUAAUCCUGGUCGGACAUCAGGAGGUUAGUGCAAUGGCAUAAGCCAGCUUGACUGCGAGCGUGACGGCGCGAGCAGGUGCGAAAGCAGGUCAUAGUGAUCCGGUGGUUCUGAAUGGAAGGGCCAUCGCUCAACGGAUAAAAGGUACUCCGGGGAUAACAGGCUGAUACCGCCCAAGAGUUCAUAUCGACGGCGGUGUUUGGCACCUCGAUGUCGGCUCAUCACAUCCUGGGGCUGAAGUAGGUCCCAAGGGUAUGGCUGUUCGCCAUUUAAAGUGGUACGCGAGCUGGGUUUAGAACGUCGUGAGACAGUUCGGUCCCUAUCUGCCGUGGGCGCUGGAGAACUGAGGGGGGCUGCUCCUAGUACGAGAGGACCGGAGUGGACGCAUCACUGGUGUUCGGGUUGUCAUGCCAAUGGCACUGCCCGGUAGCUAAAUGCGGAAGAGAUAAGUGCUGAAAGCAUCUAAGCACGAAACUUGCCCCGAGAUGAGUUCUCCCUGACCCUUUAAGGGUCCUGAAGGAACGUUGAAGACGACGACGUUGAUAGGCCGGGUGUGUAAGCGCAGCGAUGCGUUGAGCUAACCGGUACUAAUGAACCGUGAGGCUUAACCUUACAACGCCGAAGGUGUUU
rnacentral:rRNA from 1 species